AUGAACUGCCUCCCAAAACAUCCGGAGGAAAGACCCGGCAACUCAUCCAUGGUUCUCCACAGCAACAAGGGAGCACAUGUGACCGUUUGGCGUCUCUAUCUGCCACAGACAAAGCACGCCCCGCUCCAAUGUUCCGGACGAUCUCAAGUCCUCCUCCAUUUCCAUGUCUCAGAGUUGGUUUUGCAAUGGCUGGAUGCACAGUAAAGUAGGACGCCCUAUGGUCCUGUCACUGCAGGUAAAUCAGAAAGUCUCGUUAUCCAUUC
rnacentral:lncRNA from 1 species